rnacentral:rRNA from 1 species
UACGUAGGUCCCGAGCGUUGUCCGGAUUUAUUGGGCGUAAAGCGAGCGCAGGUGGUUUAUUAAGUCUGGUGUAAAAGGCGGUGGCUCAACCAUUGUAUGCAUUGGAAACUGGUAGACUUGAGUGCAGGAGAGGAGAGUGGAAUUCCAUGUGUAGCGGUGAAAUGCAUAGAUAUUAGGAGGAACACCAGUGGCGAAGGCGGCUUGCUGGACUGAAACUGACGCUGAGGCUCGAAAGCGUGGGGAGCAAACAGG